rnacentral:tRNA from 2 species
GUUAACGUAGCUUAAAAUUAAAGCAAAGCACUGAAAAUGCUUAGAAGGGUUCUACCCCGUAAACA